UACGUAGGAUCCAAGCGUUGUCCGGAUUUACUGGGUGUAAAGGGUGCGCAGGCGGACUUGUUAGUCAGAGGUGAAAUCUCACUGCUCAACAGUGAAACUGCCUUUGAUACUGCAGGUCUUGAAUCCAGAAGAGAGUUGUGGAAUUCCGAGUGUAGCAGUGAAAUGUGUAGAUAUUCGGAAGAACACCAGCGGCGAAGGCAGCAACUUGGUCUGGUAUUGACGCUCAGGCACGAAAGCAUGGGGAAUCAAACAGGAGGU
rnacentral:rRNA from 1 species